UUGGAGGGCAAGUCUGGUGCCAGCAGCCGCGGUAAUUCCAGCUCCAAUAGCGUAUAUUAAAGUUGUUGCAGUUAAAAAGCUCGUAGUUGAAUUUCGGGGUUAGUAGGUUGGUCAUGCCGCUGGUAUGUACUGGUCUCACUGAUUCCUCCUUCCUGAUGAGCCGUAAUGCCAUUAAUUUGGUGUUGCGAGGAAUCUGGACUGUUACAUUGAAAAAAUUAGAGUGUUUAAAGCAAGCUGACGCUUGAAUACAUUAGCAUGGAAUAAUGAAAUAGGACGUUCGAUCCUAUUUUGUUGGUUUCUAGGAUUGACGUAAUGAUUAAUAGGGAUAGUUGGGGGCAUUAGUAUUCAAUUGUCAGAGGUGAAAUUCUUGGAUUUAUUGAAGACUAACUACUGCGAAAGCAUUUGCCAGGGAUGUUUUCAUUAAUCAAGAACGAAAGUUAGGGGAUCGAAGACGAUCAGAUACCGUCGUAGUCUUAACCAUAAACUAUGCCGACUAGGGAUCGGAUGAUGUUAUUUUUAAUGACUCAUUCGGCGCCUUACGGGAAACCAAAGUGUUUGGGUUC
rnacentral:rRNA from 1 species